rnacentral:rRNA from 1 species
UACGGGGGGAGCAAGCGUUGUUCGGAUUUACUGGGCGUAAAGGGCGCGUAGGCGGCCUCCGCAAGUCAGUUGUGAAAUCUCCGAGCUUAACUCGGAAAGGUCAACUGAUACUGCGGGGCUAGAGUGCGGAAGGGGCAACUGGAAUUCUUGGUGUAGCGGUGAAAUGCGUAGAUAUCAAGAGGAACACCUGCGGCGAAGGCGGGUUGCUGGGCCGACACUGACGCUGAGGCGCGAAAGUGUGGGGAGCGAACAGG